AGCGAGAUGGAGCAAUGGUAGCUCAAGCAGCCCGUGUGCUGAAAGAUGCUGGUUCGAAUCCAGCUCUCGCUG